UUAUGUGAUUCCAUAGAGAAGAUUUCAUUGAAUCCUUAGAUAACAGUAAAAGAUUGUGGAUAAGAAUUUACAUUUUAUACAAGUGGCAUUCAUCCACUUUCAGUUUUUUCUUUGCAGAUAAAAUUAAUGGAAUGAUCUUCUCUACUGUCCCCACUUAACAAUUUCGUUUUAUAUAUGUAAUAGCAGUGGACUUAAGGCCUUGGUGUUUUUCCUGGCCUUGCAUAUUCAGGUUUCUAGUCUCUCAGUGCUCUUAAUGGAUGUUAUGAAUGCAUAAACGCAUUUUCUUUUAAAGAAAAAAGUUAGAUUUAUAGUGUUAUUUCUUACUUGUUCUAUUUCUUUGCACUAAACAAGACUGAUGUUUGCUUUAUAUGACACCUUAGAAACCAUAUUGCCUACAAUAGCUGGGUUUGCUCCUUACUUUCCAAACUCUAGCAGUCGAUAAAUAACUUUCAUGUUUAUAAAGGUUACAUACACAUCCAAAAAAAGAAUCACAAAUCUCUAUGACAGUGGGUUGUGUUUUGGGCUUGUUACCUUGCAACAUUCUCCUUGUUCCAUAGGUGAAACAGAUGGUGACAGAGGUGUCAGAAAGGAAAUGCAUAGGUAAAUACACCUCUGCAUGCUACAGUUUCUCAUGCUCAUGCAUUCCUUAUGGACAGUGUUGUUUUUUUCCUGUCAAAGAAGGCUGUUAGUACUGCACUCAGUGGUAUGUGAUCUCUGUCAGUUUCGUUUAGUAAAAUCAGGUCCUGCUCUGUAAUAUCCUUUAGAAUUUGCACCCUGUGCUCCCCA
rnacentral:lncRNA from 1 species